CCUACGGGAGGCAGCAGUGGGGAAUAUUGCACAAUGGGGGAAACCCUGAUGCAGCGACGCCGCGUGGGUGACGAAGUAUUUCGGUAUGUAAAGCUCUAUCAGCAGGGAAGAAGAUGACAGUACCUGACCAAGAAGCCCCGUCUAACUACGUGCCAGCAGCCGCGGUAAUACGUAGGGGGCAAGCGUUAUCCUGAUUUGAUGGGUGUGAAGGGAGCGUAGGAGGUUUUGCAAGACAGUAGUGAAAACCCGGGGCGCAAACCCGGGGACUGCUUUGGAAACUGUUAACCUGGAGUGCAGGAGGGGCAGGCGGAAUUCCUGGUGUAGCGGUGAAAUGCGUAGAUAUCAGGAGGAACACCGGAGGCGAAGGCGGCCUGCUGGACUGAAACUGACGCUGAGGCUCGAAAGCGUGGGGAGCAAACAGGAUUAGAUACCCUUGUAGUC
rnacentral:rRNA from 1 species